GAUGAAGAACGUAGCGAAAUGCGAUAAGUAAUGUGAAUUGCAGAAUUCAGUCAAUCAUCGAAUCUUUGAACGCACAUUGCGCCCGCCAGUAUUCUGGCGGGCAUGCCUGUUCGAGCGUCAUUUCAACCAUCAAGCCCCCGGCUUGUGUUGGGGACCUGCGGCUGCCGCAGGCCCUGAAAAGCAGUGGCGGGCUCGCUGUCACACCGAGCGUAGUAGCAUACAUCUCGCUCUGGGCGUGCUGCGGGUUCCGGCCGUUAAACCACCUUCAUAACCCAAGGUUGACCUCGGAUCAGGUAGGAAGACCCGCUGAACUUAAGCAUAUCAAUAAGCGGAGGA
rnacentral:misc_RNA from 1 species